rnacentral:rRNA from 1 species
CGUGUAGGCGGCUUGGCAAGUCCGCUGUGAAAACUCGAGGCUCAACCUCGAGACGUCGGUGGAAACUGCCUCGCUAGAGUCCGGAAGAGGAGAGUGGAAUUCCUGGUGUAGCGGUGAAAUGCGCAGAUAUCAGGAAGAACACCCGUGGCUAAGGCGGCUCUCUAGUACGGUACUGACGCUGAGACGCGAAAGCGUGGGGAGCGAACAGGAUUAGAUACCCUGGUAGUCCACGCCGUAAACGAUGGGUGCUAGGUGUGGGCGGUGUCGACUCCGUCCGUGCCGAAGCUAACGCAUUAAGCACCCCGCCUGGGGAGUACGGCCGCAAGGCUAAA